UCGAGCGAUGAAGUUUCUUCGGAAAUGGAUUAGCGGCGAACGGGUGAGGAACACGUGAAGAAUCUGCCCUCCACUUUGGGAUAACACCGGGAAACCGGUGCUAAUACCGAAUAUUGAAACAUAAGUGGCAUCACUGAGUUUUGAAAGAAUUUCGGUGGAGGAUGACUUCGCGGCCUAUCAGCUAGUUGGUGAGGUAAUGGCUCACCAAGGCAACGACGGGUAGCCGGCCUGAGAGGGCGACCGGCCACACUGGGACUGAGACACGGCCCAGACUCCUACGGGAGGCAGCAGUGGGGAAUAUUGGGCAAUGGAGGAAACUCUGACCCAGCGACGCCGCGUGCGGGAUGAAGGCCUUCGGGUUGUAAACCGCUUUCAGUAGGGAAGAAGCGAAAGUGACGGUACCUACAAAAGAAGCACCGGCUAACUAUGUGCCAGCAGCCGCGGUAAUACAUAGGGUGCAAGCGUUGUCCGGAAUUAUUGGGCGUAAAGAGCUCGUAGGUCGUUUGUUACGUCGGAUGUGAAAACCUGAGGCUCAACCUCAGGCCUGCAUUCGAUACGGGCAAACUAGAGUUUGGUAGGGGAGACUGGAAUUCCUGGUGUAGCGGUGGAAUGCGCAGAUAUCAGGAGGAAC
rnacentral:rRNA from 1 species